rnacentral:rRNA from 1 species
AUUGAACGCUGGCGGCAGGCCUAACACAUGCAAGUCGAGCGGAUGAAGGGAGCUUGCUCCUGGAUUCAGCGGCGGACGGGUGAGUAAUGCCUAGGAAUCUGCCUGGUAGUUGGGGAUAACGUCCGGAAACGGGCGCUAAUACCGCAUACGUCCUGAGGGAGAAAGUGGGGGAUCUUCGGACCUCACGCUAUUAGAUGAGCCUAGGUCGGAUUAGCUAGUUGGUGGGGUAAAGGCUUACCAAGGCGACGAUCCGUAACUGGUCUGAGAGGAUGAUCAGUCACACUGGAACUGAGACACGGUCCAGACUCCUACGGGAGGCAGCAGUGGGGAAUAUUGGACAAUGGGCGAAAGCCUGAUCCAGCCAUGCCGCGUGUGUGAAGAAGGUCUUCGGAUUGUAAAGCACUUUAAGUUGGGAAGAAGGAAAGUAAGUUAAUACCUUGCUGUUUUGACGUUACCAACAGAAUAAGCACCGGCUAACUUCGUG